UCCUAGAAACAACAUCUUGCCCCUGGCCCCAGGCCUCAGGGGUGUCUGAGAGAGCACAGGUACAGUAAGUACAGUCCCCUGCUGGGCCACAGCCCUGCCUGAGAUCAAAGGUCCUCCGCAGCCCUCCCUGGCUUCCUCUACUGGUGCCAGGAUGCACCAGCAGCUUUCCUCUUCGGAAGUCGCAUUUAGAACAACUAGAAGCUCACUUCAGGAAGUUUCCCUUAGCAGGCGGAAGGAGGCCUUACGCUCAAGCCCAGAAUCCCAAGACAUCUGUCCUAUCAGAGUCACCAUGAGAGGGAAAUGAUCCUAGAAGCUGAAAUAGACCAGAGUUCAACAGUCUGGGAAAUUUGAAGGAGAAAAAAAAAAAGAAGAAGAAGAAGCCGUGCAUUUGCAGAGAUGUGAAGAGAACCCGGCUCUCUGAAGUUGGAAGGAAGUGAGAAGACCCUAUUUGUGGCUGCAGGAGAGGAAAAGAAAAGAGCCCCGCAAGGAAACUACCAACAGAUGCACUCACAGAAGGAGGGCACUGCUGUGAUGAGCAAAAUCCAAUUCCAGAAGACUUUGAUCGUGGCAGCUGUCACACUUGGGCUCUUAUAAAGCCAAGAGGAUGGAGUUUCUGCCUGGUCUGUGGGAGUCUGGGAAACUGAUUGAUAUUCUUCAUAGGUGGACAAGAAGGGAACGAAAGUAUCCAUUACCACUGAGAAACAAGUGGAGCCUCCACUGUGGAAGUCAGAGGGUGGCUUGGGGCCAUGGCACUCACUCCUCCUAAAGCCUCUCCAACCCCAGCACGCGAUGUUCACACAGAAGAGACACCACAAUUACAAAUGGCUGUGCAGGCACUAAUCCACGUGCAGCUGGUCAAUACCAUCCAUGAGUUGAAGAAGUGUGGAGCAGGUCAGCCCUCUGAGAAAAAGCUGUGCACAGAAGGGAAGAGAACCAGUGACUGGAAGAAGUUACACAAGUAUCAAACCAGAACAGGCUCAUUCCCUGUCCAGGAAUCAAACCCGGGUUGCUGAGGUGCAAAUAUAGGACCUUAACCAUCAGGCUGCAAGUAGAUAUGUCUUAACUGUUGGAGUAUACCAGGAAGGAAAGGUAAGAAGUCACGUGUUCUUGGCCUCCCUUAUUAGACAGUAGUUGAAAGACAUUAACCUGGACUAACACAAAAGCAUUUCUUUGGGUGCUAUCAAUGGGGAAAAUGGUUUGGGCCCUGAUCUUGCCCCUUCUAUUCUCUGAACAUAAUCUCGUUUUCUUGUGGGGGUCUUGGCAGAAGAAAUGCAGUAGGACAAUGGGGGUGGAGGAGGAGAAAUAGAAAGGGAAGACACAACAACGGCAAGUGUCAGGCAGGUGAGAGAGGUGAAGAGCCAUGGGGUGGGGCCAGGGAAGGACAGCGAGUGUGGACUCUCUGAGUUCUGCUGCUCUGGAGAAUCAGCAGCAGCAGCAGCAGCACCUGGGAUCGUGUUAGAAAUUUAGAAUCUCAGCUCCCAACUCAGACACACCCAAUCAGAUUCCGUAUUUUAACAAGAUCCCCAGGUAAUUCCUAUGCACAUAAAGCUUGAGAGGCGCAUAGUUGCCCCCAACCAGUCUGAGCCAGUCCUGAGCAGUGUCAUCAGCCUCAGACCUAUUAAUAGAUGAAACUGGUUUGGUUGCCUAGAGACCUGGAAAUCUGGUCGCUCCAUGUAGACUCUGAGUCUCAGUAUUCUCUUACCACUUUGGCCAAAGACUUGUGACUCCUGAUCUGCCUCAGUUUCUCUGCUAAGCAUUUCAGUUCUCUGCAUGGGUUGGAUCCUUGUCAUGGACCCCAGCUCCUUGGCUUGGGUCUUGAUUCCCUGCCAAAUUAUGGCUCUCUCCCCUUCCCUUGGGUAGCAGGAUGUGAUUUCCUAUUCCCUUGGCAGCUCCUGGCCAGCGGGCUGCUGUGACUGGACUGACCACCUGAAACCCUGGCUGAUUUGGAGCAUUGUCACCUGGACUUCUUCCAGAACUGUGCUCUGUUGGUGGAUAGGACUCAUUCAGAUGUCCACAUAGCCUGGCCCUCUGACCUAGUCACACCCUUCGCCAGCUACACGCUGGCCUGCUUGGCUGCCCUCUGGAGAUGGGUCAGCUUCUGAGGACAAGCUCCAUCCCCUCUGUCCCACUGGUUCUUGGUUUUUCCUCCUUCCCACGGGCCUGUGUUGAUGUGGUCCUAUACUGCCCUGAACCCAUGUCUCCUGCAAAAGAUGAGGAGGCCACAGACCCUUCUCUUGCUUAACAUCUAUGACUCCAGGACUCCAUUGGCCUGUUUCUCUGUAGGCCUUGAAAUUCUGAAGACUUCCCUUGUAGCUCUUUAGGUAAAAGUUCUUCUAAAAGUCCUAGAUGACUAUUGGUACAAACAGGAUCAAUGGUUUUGCAUAACUUGCAUUUUGGCCCUUUUUCCAAGGUGGAGAAAAACUUCUCUGUGCUUGUUUUACAAAAAACAAAGCCAAUCCAUAAAGAAGCUCAAUAAUUUCUCUAGUUAUCAUAUAACCAUUUCACUUUGACUGUUGGUAUUGUACCUCCUGCCAUGCUCAAUUUGUGGUGGUACAUUCUACAAAGUAUAUCACAUCUGCUGUGUUUUAAGCCAGCACAAAAUGGCAUGAAGUUCAAAAUGAUCAGGUUGGCUCUCAGUUAUGGAGGCAAGUUUUUAAGUGAAUUUUGCUUUCCAUUGGUGAAUAACAGAGCACUGACUAUUUCUUUAAGACUCUUGCAUCAUUUCUAGUCCUAAGAACUGUUCUUGCAGUGAUCGAAAAAAAACAAAAAAAGGUAGAAGAAGGAAAAAAACAGAAAGAAAGAAGUGUGGCAGCACACACAGUAGCUAAGUAAUGGUGUGGGUGUUGUUUCCAUUAUUUACAUACAUAACACUUUUCACAAGAAUCCAAAUGUCUUACAAAAGAAAAUACAACACACAUUGGAAUAAUGAUUGGGUAACACAGUAAGAUAUAAAGAAAACAAUUACCCAAAGGAAGAUUUAAAUCUGGCAUAAAUCAUUUGCACAGAAAGAAUGGAUAAGUAUCCCUUGACUCAAUUUGCACAUAGAAAGGUAUGCACAGGCUGGUGUUUGCCACGUUCAGGAAAGAAACAAUAUGCAAACUAAAGAUAAAAGAUAGCAAUAUAA